AUUGAACGCUGGCGGCAGGCCUAACACAUGCAAGUCGAGCGCGAAAGUCUUCGGAUGAGUAAAGCGGCGGACGGGUGAGUAAUGCAUGGGAAUCUGCCUGGUAGUGGGGGACAACGUUUCGAAAGAGACGCUAAUACCGCAUACGCCCUACGGGGGAAAGGGGGGGAUCUUCGGACCUCUCGCUAUCAGAUGAGCCCAUGUCAGAUUAGCUAGUUGGUAGGGUAAAGGCCUACCAAGGCGACGAUCUGUAACUGGUCUGAGAGGAUGAUCAGUCACAAUGGAACUGAGACACGGUCCAGACGCCUACGGGAGGCAGCAGUGGGGAAUAUUGGACAAUGGGGGCAACCCUGAUCCAGCCAUGCCGCGUGUGUGAAGAAGGCCCUAGGGUUGUAACGCACUUUCAGUGGGGAGAAAGGUUGUUCAGAUAAUACCUGAAUGAAUUGAUGUUACCCACAGAAGAAGCACCGGCUAACUCCGUGCCAGCCGCCGCCGUAACAC
rnacentral:rRNA from 1 species